CUUUUCUUAGCAACGUGUCAUCUUAUUCUUUGAGUGUGUAUCACUGGAAGAGUGGGAUGCAGUUUUGUUUCAGGAUUUACCAUUUACCUAAAAGAUGGAGUGCAUUGUGUUGUGUGUAAAUGCCUCUCAGUACCGACGACCAUGGGCUAGAGAACUCCGUGAACUGUCAGAUGGUACACGAUGAAGUCGAUCACCUUCAUCCAGCCAGAGUUGAUAUAGUGAAACGAAAUGGCAACAUUACUCGGCUCGUAGGCGGUCUGCAAAACAAAUGAAUCAAUCAAUUAAUCAAUCAAUCAGUCGGUGAUUGGUAAACAAAACCCAUCCAUAAAUAACUAAAUACAGUAGAAUCUCAUUCGCUCGAACACUGUCGGUGCAUCAAAGUCUGUUUGACCCAUUGGAUAGAUCGAACCAUGCAUUCGGCCGUUGUCGAUAACCUCGCAUAUUUCUGUAAAACCGGCUUGGGCGAGAUGGUCCGAUUGACUCGUGAGUAACGAAGUCGCCGUCAGAUGUCGGAUAAGAUAUAUAUUUGUAACAAUUAUUUAUCACUGUUAACUAGAUACAUAACUAAAUAAAUAAAACACU